CUGGCCCCCAGCCGUGCCACCCCAUCCCUGUCCCAUUAGCUGCAGCAACGGCGUCACCAUCGCUUGUCCCCACCAGUGUCCUUCCCUCCCCUGGUCAGGGUCUAGGGGGUCAGGGCUGUUCUUCCUGAGCCAGCUUCUGUGAUUCCAGCUACUCCCUUCCUGUCCUGGGACAGACCAGCCCCUCACCCUCCCAUGCUCUGCCCAGGAAGACUGGUGAGGGG
rnacentral:lncRNA from 1 species